rnacentral:rRNA from 1 species
UGGGGAAUAUUGCACAAUGGGGGAAACCCUGAUGCAGCGACGCCGCGUGGAGGAAGAAGGUCUUCGGAUUGUAAACUCCUGUUGUUGAGGAAGAUAAUGACGGUACUCAACAAGGAAGUGACGGCUAACUACGUGCCAGCAGCCGCGGUAAAACGUAGGUCACAAGCGUUGUCCGGAAUUACUGGGUGUAAAGGGAGCGCAGGCGGGAAGACAAGUUGGAAGUGAAAUCUAUGGGCUCAACCCAUAAACUGCUUUCAAAACUGUUUUUCUUGAGUAGUGCAGAGGUAGGCGGAAUUCCCGGUGUAGCGGUGGAAUGCGUAGAUAUCGGGAGGAACACCAGUGGCGAAGGCGGCCUACUGGGCACCAACUGACGCUGAGGCUCGAAAGUGUGGGUAGCAAACAGGAUUAGAUACCCUGGUAGUCCACACCGUAAACGAUGAUUACUAGGUGUUGGAGGAUUGACCCCUUCAGUGCCGCAGUUAACACAAUAAGUAAUCCACCUGGGGAGUACGACCGCAAGGUUGAAACUCAAAGGAAUUGACGGGGGCCCGCACAAGCAGUGGAGUAUGUGGUUUAAUUCGACGCAACGCGAAGAACCUUACCAAGUCUUGACAUCCUGCGACGAUGCUGGAAACAGUAUUUUCCUUCGGGACGCAGAGACAGGUGGUGCAUGGUUGUCGUCAGCUCGUGUCGUGAGAUGUUGGGUUAAGUCCCGCAACGAGCGCAACCCUUACUGUCAGUUACUACGCAAGAGGACUCUGGCAGGACUGCCGUUGACAAAACGGAGGAAGGUGGGGAUGACGUCAAAUCAUCAUGCCCUUUAUGACUUGGGCUACACACGUACUACAAUGGCGUUAAACAAAGAGAAGCAAGACCGCGAGGUGGAGCAAAACUCAGAAACAACGUCCCAGUUCGGACUGCAGGCUGCAACUCGCCUGCACGAAGUCGGAAUUGCUAGUAAUCGCGGAUCAGCAUGCCACGGUGAAUACGUUCCC